rnacentral:lncRNA from 1 species
UGACAUUUCAAAUAGUCCUGAGGGCUUCUGGAGCCAAUCUCAGAGCCGUGAACCUGGGCUUGUGUUAGAGGAAGCUUAGCUUAAUAUAAAUAAAUCUGUAAGAAAAGGUCACAGGUCACUGUCAGGAAAGAAGUAGUGAAUACAGUGUUCACUCCCUUUCCUCCCUGAGAAAUUGAAGCCCAACUUGGUGUUGAAAUGGGAUGGUAAAACAGGAAUGGGUCUGAGAAUUUGGGGAGAUCUGUAUCUGCCCUCACAGCUUUGGGGACCUGAUACAGUGAUCCCAACAGACCUGAAGCCAGACGCCAGUGAGAUAUCUAAGCAAGUGACUCUUUCAUCCUGUUUCCACCAGUUAAGGGAGAGAAACAUAAAAUAAUUUCGUUCAAGCAUUUAAGCAAGUAAGAAUCACUAAAUAUGAGCUUCCACUAAUUUUUACAUCCAUGGACCAGAGAAGGUAGGAUGGGAGUGUAAUGGAUGCAAAGGGAAUGAUUAUUAUAGGAAGGUGAUAAGAGCUAUAUCUGCACACCAUGGGGAUCUGUGACAAGAAAGCAGAGAGGUGUAAAUGCCAGGGCAAGAGUAAUAAUAGCAGGUGUCAUUAUUAAGUCAGAAAAAAUAAUUCUUAAAGAUAAUUGUAGUAAGCUCUGUCACAUUCAUACUGUCCAGUGUCCAGCAAGGAGCCCAGGGCUUGGCCCACACCCCACUCUUCCAUCAGUCUCUCCUUGUACCAUUUCUAGUGAGAGGGAUAGCUCUCUUGGGAGUAGGGAAUUUGACUCCCCUCCUGCUGUGGCAUUCAUGGGGCUCUGAUUAUUGGUGUUCAGUAAAUGUUUAAGAAAAAAUAAAUGGGGGCUGGGGUUGUGGCUCAGCAGUAAAGCCCUCGCCUAGCACGUGUGAGGUGCUGGGUUCAAUCCUCAGCACCACAUAAAAAUAAAUAAAAGUAUUGUGUCCAACUAUAAAAACUAAAAAAUAUUUUUAAAAAAAGAAAAAGAAAAAAAAUAAAUGGAUUAUUCUGGAGCAUAGUGUCUUUAUCUUCUCAUUAAGUGAUACCACUAAUCCAAAAGUUCUUUUCAAGUAGGAGGACGAUAGUGCUGGGUGUGAAAGGGCAGGUCCUAUAAAAC